rnacentral:rRNA from 1 species
AGGAAUAGCCUCGGGAAACUGGGAGUAAUGCCUUAUAAGAUACGUUUGUCGCAUGGCAUUUGUAUUAAACGCUCCGGCGCCAUAGGAUGGACCCGCGUCCCAUUAGCUAGUUGGUGAGAUAACAGCUCACCAAGGCCACGAUGGGUAACCGGUCUGAGAGGGCGAACGGUCACACUGGAACUGAGACACGGUCCAGACUCCUACGGGAGGCAGCAGUGGGGAAUAUUGCGCAAUGGGGGCAACCCUGACGCAGCAAUACCGCGUGAGUGAAGAAGGUUUUCGGAUCGUAAAGCUCUGUUAUUGGGGAAGAAAAAAAGACGGUACCCAAGAAGAAAGUUCCGGCUAACUACGUGCAGCAGCCGCGGUAAUACGUAGGGAACAAGCGUUGUCCGGAUUUACUGGGCGUAAAGGGCACGCAGGCGGUUUUUUAAGUCAGAUGUGAAAGGCCACAGCUCAACCAUUGAACUGCAUUUGAAACUGAAAGCCUAGAGUUCAGAAGGGGCAGAUGGAAUUAGUGGUGUAGGGGUAAAAUCCGUAGAUAUCACUAGGAAUAUCAAAAGCGAAGGCGAUCUGCUGGGAUGAUACUGACG